GUAGAUGCUUGCUUCUUCUCAUUCAUUUCACAAAAACCAAAUCAAAAAAUUAUAAAGACAAACCUUAGUCUUUUACACGGCAAACCUUAGUUUCCCCAGUCCAUCUUUCAAGUGCAAGAAAAAUUCCUCAUUCAAUCUGCAUAGUUCUUUUGUAAUGAUGUUAUAGAAUGAUAUCCAUCCCUCAUUAUGUACAAAAACAGUGCAAAUGGAACACUUAUAUUUAAGAAACAACAAGCUUUGAAUAAGUUGUAAGCAUUAUUUCAAAAAGAACAAAAUUUUGAACAUUUCAUAGAUUAUUCAUCCAAUGCUUAUUCUAAAUGGGAAUAAAUUUACUUUGCCUCAUGAGGUUUGUAUUUGAUCCAAUUGCUCCACUGGACAUUUGUAAGUAGGAACAAAGGGCCCAAUCAAAUGGACUCUGUUGGUCAUCUCUAAUUGGAAACGAGAAAUUCACCUAGCAAUAAUUCCUGUAUUUUGUAUAAUACAGAUUAUCGGCCAUAACUAUAAUAUCAUGCUGAUAUUUACAAUUCAAAAUCCAAUCAUAAAGAAAUUCAAAUUAAGGAAAGCUGGAAUCAAAUUAAUAUAAACCCAAACUAUCAAUUCUUACUGUGGCACAUGGCAACUAUGACAGGCUGAACACGCUACCAAGCUUUGGGUACUCUUCUCUCAGCACCACUGGCCCCUUCAAAAAUUGCAACAGCCUAUCGAGCACCUACCAAAAAGAUUGUCGUCGUUUCUUCGAUCUGGGCAUUAUUAAUGCUGAAAUCAGUUUUUCCGCUAACAGAGUCGUCACUAGUAAGAGGCCCACAUUCUAGAUUUUGUUGUUUUUGGUCGACUCCAUUUCCAUACAGCAUCAAUCCCUACUCCUGGUGGCGGAAGGGCAGCAACAGGAGCAAUCAAUAACACAAUCGGAAUCGUAGCGAUGGUUGACCAAAAUCGGCAGGCAGUUGCCUAAAAUUGUAUAAAUAGUUUUGGAUUUUCUAAGGGAAGAGUUUUGAUUUCCCAAUUACAGAAUGAAAAUAUGAUUCUUCAUUUAAAAAAAAGAAAAAAAGAAAAAAAAAAUUGGAGAGUGGAAGACGGCAAACUUUAGAGAGGGAAUGACAAAAUUUUGGAGAAAACCUUGGAGGCAAAAGAAAGAGUG
rnacentral:lncRNA from 1 species